rnacentral:rRNA from 1 species
CCUACGGGUGGCAGCAGUGAGGAAUAUUGGUCAAUGGGCGGAAGCCUGAACCAGCCAAGUCGCGUGAGGGAAUAAGGCCCUCCGGGUCGUAAACCCCUUUUGCCGGGGAGCAAGGGCGGGGACGUGUCCCGGCCCGGCGAGUUCCCGGCGAAAAAGCAUCGGCUAACUCCGUGCCAGCAGCCGCGGUAAUACGGAGGAUGCGAGCGUUAUCCGGAUUUAUGGGGUUUAAGGGGUGCGUAGGCGGGCUUGUAAGUCAGCGGGAAAAGUUCGGGGCUCAACCCCGUCCUGCCGUGGAAACUGGGGGGCUUGAGUGGGCGAGAGGAAGGCGGAAUGCGUAGUGUAGCGGUGAAAUGCAUAGAUAUCACGAAGAACCCCAGUUGCGAAGGCAGCCUUCCGGCGCCCUACUGACGCUGAGGCACGAAAGUGCGGGGAUCGAACAGGAUUAGAUACCCUUGUAGUC